AUGGCCAGCACCUCCCAUGCUGCCUCCCAGCACCCAAGUUCCCCUGGGCAGGUUGAUCCCAGCACCAGGAGCAGGCAGCACAGACCAGGGACACGCCACUGUGCUGUCCUGCCUGGAGGCCACCUCUCCCUGCAGCACCACCAGGAGGAGCAGCUAUGGAGAAAUGACUUUUAUUGCCGAGGAACCAACUCACACCAAGCUGUGCUCCAGGCUGCGGUACUCCGAACCGGGCUCCCCCCGUUUCUCCAGCUCCCUGGGGACGAGGGCCCCCACGACAGCCUGCAGCUCAGCCUGGAAGGGGCACUGCCGCCUCGGCCGCCGGCGUCUCCGCUGUCCCCUGCGCAGGCGCCACACGGCCAAGCCCAGGGCCAGCACGCUCCCCACGAGGGCCGCCGCCACCACAGCACUGCCCAGCAGGGCCAGCCCAGCCAGCAGCAGCUUCUUCACCGUACGGCACGGCGCUGGGGGGACAACAGGGUCAGGGGUGGCUUGGGCACCGAGGACAGAGAUGAGCCUCCAGGGCUUCCCGGUCCUGGGUGUCCCUGCUCCCCCCAGGUGGGGAACAUCGGGCACCAGAUGGUUGGGUUGGUUUGGGGCCAUGGGGAGAAGUUCGGGGUUGGCUGCUCACCUUCAUACCACGGCUCCAGGUCCUGCACCAGAAGUGGGCCAGCCGUCACCUGGUGGAGCAUCCCCUCUCCUGGGAACUCUGCGGGUGGACACAGCCCAUGCAGCUCCCCUCUGGUCCCAGGACACCCAAAGCCACCGAGCAGCCAUGGGCCCCCAGGGCAGGUGCCUACCUGGCUGCUGUCCAGGUGGGGUGUCACCAGGGGGACACCUGGUGUCACAGCAGUCACACAGGGCACUCUGGGAAGGGUCCUCUGCAUUGUGCCACCUGGGAGGGAAGGACAGAGCUGGGGGUCCCUGCGACCCCAGCACCCACCCAAGACCCAUGUGGUGUCAUGUCCUCUGUCCCUUUGGGUCUUGGCCACCCCAGAGGGGUCUUUGUGCAUGAGCAGGGAUUCAGAGGGACCCAAGGGGUGGGGGGGGUGGCAUCCAGACCACCAUGGGGUGGCUUGGUGCCAUGGAUGUGUCCCCUGGCCCCAGAAGGGCACCAGUGGCUUCUGUUCCCAAAGCACCCAUGGGUGCUCUGGUCCCUGCCCAGCUCCUUGGUGCCAGCGGGGAACCCACACCGAUGCAGAGCUCACCUGGCUGCGGCUUCACUGUAGAAGCAGGACCUCAGGCUGUGCCUCUGGGCACCCCAUGCCGUCAGCAGGCAGUGCACGUAGACCUGCUGGGACACCGGCCGUCCUCACUGCCACCUCCAGGCAGCCCACCCUUCCUGGGGGCCUUCCCUUCCCUCCCACCUCCGCAUCCUCCCCAUGGCUUCAGGCCUCCCCACCUGGGAGCAGGGGAGGGCAGCAGGAAUGCCCACAGAGGGACAAUGCCUUGGGGACACCCAGGUCACCCCAAGGAGGUGACCCACCACCAGGAAGCCUGCUCCACCCCAACCUCACCUCCUCCUCAGGCUCAACCUCCAGCACAGGGGCCAGGAUGGAGAACUGGAGGACAGACGCCCCUCUCUGGUGCUGGACAGACACACUCCCCAGACUCGGGCCAUGCAGACACCUGGGGAGACCCAGGAACAAGUCAGGGACAUUUCCAGGCUGA
ensembl:lncRNA